AGAGUUUGAUCCUGGCUCAGGAUGAACGCUGGCGGCGUGCUUAACACAUGCAAGUCGAACGAAGCAUUUAGAACAGAUUACUUCGGUUUGAAGUUCUUUAUGACUGAGUGGCGGACGGGUGAGUAACGCGUGGGUAACCUGCCUUGUACUGGGGGAUAGCAGCUGGAAACGGCUGGUAAUACCGCAUAAGCGCACAAUGUUGCAUGACAUGGUGUGAAAAACUCCGGUGGUAUAAGAUGGACCCGCGUCUGAUUAGCUAGUUGGUGAGAUAACAGCCCACCAAGGCGACGAUCAGUAGCCGACCUGAGAGGGUGACCGGCCACAUUGGGACUGAGACACGGCCCAGACUCCUACGGGAGGCAGCAGUGGGGAAUAUUGCACAAUGGAGGAAACUCUGAUGCAGCGACGCCGCGUGAGUGAAGAAGUAUUUCGGUAUGUAAAGCUCUAUCAGCAGGGAAGAAAAUGACGGUACCUGACUAAGAAGCACCGGCUAAAUACGUGCCAGCAGCCGCGGUAAUACGUAUGGUGCAAGCGUUAUCCGGAUUUACUGGGUGUAAAGGGAGCGCAGGCGGUGCGGCAAGUCUGAUGUGAAAGCCCGGGGCUCAACCCCGGUACUGCAUUGGAAACUGUCGGACUAGAGUGUCGGAGGGGUAAGUGGAAUUCCUAGUGUAGCGGUGAAAUGCGUAGAUAUUAGGAGGAACACCAGUGGCGAAGGCGGCUUGCUGGACUGUAACUGACACUGAGGCUCGAAAGCGUGGGGAGCAAACAGGAUUAGAUACCCUGGUAGUCCACGCCGUAAACGAUGA
rnacentral:rRNA from 1 species